CUUAUGUUUGCGGUAAGCAACAACAGCACGUAAAAACUGAGCUCAUAUUUAACUUUAUCUGACAGGUUCUGGUUUGUUAGGUGUAUGAGGUUGAGACAAGCUAAUGGAAAUAGGGCAUCAUCAUGGUGGUAACCACUGGUUGUUCAGGAAACUCAAGGAUAUCAUCAACUCAGAUUAGAAUUUAAACUAAAUCAGAACUAUAUAUAUAUAUAUAUAUAUAUAUAUAUAUACACAAACACAGAAAGAAAUGUAGCUUAUUCUUUUCAUAAAGCUUAAGUAAACAUCCACAUAUCAGCAUCAAAACAGAUGUCUUUGAAAUUCAUGCCUGUGUGCAUAAUUGCAUUCAGAAGAAUUGUAAUCUCUCCCUCCUUCCAUCUUUCUCUUUCUCUGUCUCUCUCUGCUGCUUUUGCACUCUCUAUCCAGCAUCAAAGAAAGAGAAAGGAAACAUGCAGCUAUUGUGGGAGGAUUACGAAACAGAAAAAAAGAGGUCACGUACCCAGUGGUACAUAUGCACCAGUAUGCAGGUGGCUUUAUGAAGAUCAUCUCCCUCCCUCCUGUUUCCCAGUGGAAAUGGAUGUCCAUUAAAGAUGACAUCACACAGGCACUACAACAGCCAUGAGCAGCUGUGGCCCAUAAGAGAGGCUCAGCUAUCCUGUAAUGUCUCAUAGAAGUCUUGCAGACUCAUGCACACACACACACACACACACACAGCAAUGUCAUGGCUAUGGGGAAAACAAAUGGCACAGCUCACCUAACACACCAAUAGAGAGAAGUGAUUAUAACAGCACUCACACAAACCAUAGGUUAGAAAAAUCACUCUCUUUACUGUAUAGGAGAAAACAAAUUAUAUUAAAUCAAGACUUUUGCUCCAUAUAUUCUCUGUUUUUUCUCCUGUGAAACAGACGCAGAGUAAAAAUCUCAUGUGUCUACUCAAUAGCUGAUGCAGGUUAUGUCUUAAACUGUGCUCAGAUUUGCACCAAACACCAAAGUCUGCAAUCAUAAGACAGAGAUUUUCAAUUAAACACACACAUUUCUCAGCAAAUUCUUAAAAGACCAAUUUGUGUGUGUGUGUUAUUUGUGUCUGUUUUUAUUUUAUUUAAUUUUUAAGGAAUUAUAGGAAGACAAAGUUGAUAAUUCAAUGAUACUGUACAGUACAUAACUGAGAACUAGAGAUGUACCAAUGUUUAGAAUUCUACAUAAUACAGAUAAACCUUAAUAAUAAUAAUAAUAAUAUAAUUCAAUGCUAAUAUUAUAAAAAAUAAAAAUCGGCUGUUUUAAAUUCUACAAGUGAAUUUAUGCAUCAUUUGGGCAUUGUACAGUAUGAAAAAGAGGUUCAUUUUUAGUUUUGCUAAAGAUUACAUUUUUAUUAUUACGUUUCAACUCUUUGUGUUUUAAAAGAUUAUGUAAGCUUUAGAUGAUGGCAAAGGUAAACUAAAAGUAAAAAUAGCUUAAAUAAACAUGCAAUUAAAUAUCACUGUAAAAAAAAAUCUGUACAAAU
rnacentral:lncRNA from 12 species